CGAGUUUGUAAUUUAUUUGGAUCGGAACAUAAGACAUAUUGUAAGACUUCAGAUCAGUUGCAGGACAAGUUCGAGUGAAGUCUGCUAGAACGGUCUGUCUCCAUCUCAGUUCCUCAAAGCUGCACUUACAGAACAGCAAAACGAGGGAUUGUUGUCAGGCCACAUUUGCUCAGAAGAGCCUGGACUUUAGAUGGGUAAACCGCUAAAACGGGGAG